UAGACUCGUAGCAUAUAGCUCAGUAACACGUGGCCAAACUACCCUACAGACCGCGAUAACCUCGGGAAACUGAGGCCAAUAGCGGAUAUCACUCUCAUGCUGGAGUGCCGAGAGUGAGAAACGUUCCGGCGCUGUAGGAUGUGGCUGCGGCCGAUUAGGUAGAUGGUGGGGUAACGGCCCACCAUGCCGAUAAUCGGUACAGGUUGUGAGAGCAAGAGCCUGGAGACGGUAUCUGAGACAAGAUACCGGGCCCUACGGGGCGCAGCAGGCGCGAAACCUUUACACUGCACGACAGUGCGAUAGGGGGACUCCGAGUGUGAGGGCAUAUAGCCCUCGCUUUUCUGAACCGUAAGGUGGUUCAGGAACAAGGACUGGGCAAGACCGGUGCCAGCCGCCGCGGUAAUACCGGCAGUCCGAGUGAUGGCCGAUAUUAUUGGGCCUAAAGCGUCCGUAGCUUGCUGUGUAAGUCCAUUGGGAAAUCGACCAGCUCAACUGGUCGGCGUCCGGUGGAAACUACACAGCUUGGGGCCGAGAGACUCAACGGGUACGUCCGGGGUAGGAGUGAAAUCCUGUAAUCCUGGACGGACCACCAAUGGGGAAACCACGUUGAGAGACCGGACCCGACAGUGAGGGACGAAAGCCAGGGUCUCGAACCGGAUUAGAUACCCGGGUAGUCCUGGCUGUAAACAAUGCUCGCUAGGUAUGUCACGCGCCAUGAGCACGUGAUGUGCCGUAAUGAAGACGAUAAGCGAGCCGCCUGGGAAGUACGUCCGCAAGGAUGAAACUUAAAGGAAUUGGCGGGGGAGCACCACAACCGGAGGAGCCUGCGGUUUAAUUGGACUCAACGCCGGACAUCUCACCGGUCCCGACAGUAGUAAUGACGGUCAAGUUGACGACUUUACUCGACGCUACUGAGAGGAGGUGCAUGGCCGCCGUCAGCUCGUACCGUGAGGCGUCCUGUUAAGUCAGGCAACGA
rnacentral:rRNA from 1 species